UUACCUUUGCAGUGGGAGUAUUGAGCAGGUUUAUGCAUAUACCUAGAGAGGUUCACUGGACUGCUGCUCUAAGAAUUUUGGCUUAUGUUAAAAGCUGUCCGGGAAAAGGAUUACUGUAUAAGAAACAUGGACAUUUACACAUCUCUGCCUAUUCUGAUGCUGGGUAUGCGGGAGAUAUAGGAGAUAGAAAGUCUAUUUCUGGAUUUUGCACCUUUAUUGGAGGAAAUCUGGUUACUUGGAGGAGCAAGAAACAAGAUGUAGUAUCUCGAUCUAGUGCAGAAGCAGAAUACAGGGCUAUGGCUCAUACUGUUUGUGAGAUGAUAUGGCUACAGAAGCUGCUGACCGAGCUUGGUUUCUCGCAGCCUGGAUCUAUGCCUAUGCAUUGUGAUAAUCAAUCUGCUAUCCACAUUGCAAAGAAUCCAGUGUUUCAUGAGAGAACUAAGCACAUUGAAGUUGAUUGUAAUUUUGUCAGAGAUGCUUGGGAAAAGAAAGUGAUAUCUCUUAAGUUCACUCCGUCUUCGGAACAGUUAGCUGACAUUCUCACUAAAGCUACUUCACCUAAUGUGUUUUCCAUUCUAUGUAACAAGCUGGGCAUGAUUGAUAUAUAUGCUCCAGCUUGAGGGGGAGUGUUAGAAUUAGUUCUUGGGUUAUCGGGUUAGGGCCCAUUAACCCAUUAGCCUAUUACCUAUAUGUAACCCUAUAUAUACCCAUGGAGAUGAAUGAAAUGGCCAAGCCAUCUGAUUUCUUAGUUUCAACAAAGCUAAUUAAAUUACAGAAGGAAAAAAUCUUCUAACUAAACUCAUGCUCAUUAAUCCUAUUGAGGCACUAAAUUAAACAAUUCGUUAUCUAGCACACUCUGCAUAAAAGAAUUUCAUGGGAUCGGGUUCGUUUAGGCAUUUCAUCAAACAUUUAUUGUUCCCUUCACUGAAACUAGCUAAAUUACAGAAGCAAGAAGUCUUUUAAUGAAUCCACAUUUAUUCAUUAAUGGCUCAAAAUCUUAAUUAAAAAAAGAAGGACGAUGUGAACUUUACAUGAGAUGACAGAUGAGGCGGUGCAAUGAUCAUCGGCUUGCCGCAAUUUCUCAUUGGCGUCGGCGGUGGGACGAGGUUUAUAGGAGGAAGAAAGACAUUUGUGCAAUCGAGAUGGAGGGAUUUGGGGUUUUAAGGAUUCGAUUUGGGAUUUGUCUCUUUUUAGGAGAAAGAAAUGGUAAAAUUGUACCCUCGUCAAUGUACAAAGCUAAAUAAAUCCCUCCUAUAUACCCUUCAAAUUAUGGAUAUUUGUAAUAGGCCUUCCAAAUUUUGCUAUUUGCAAAACUACCCCUCAUAUUAUCAAAAAUUUUGAAGCCUACCCUUAAAAUCAACAAAUCGUCAAGUUGGUGUUAAGCAUUUGACUUAUAUAUGGUCAUUAUGGACGGGGGUAUUAUGGUCAUUCCCAGGCUCUGGUGGAUUUAUUUAUGCAGGCUGGUGCUAGACUGCCAAAGAAGUACUUCUGUAUGAUGAAGAUGCUGGGAUUAGCCCCCAAUGUUGUUGAAGAAAAAGUUUUCUUUAUGUAUAUCUGCCGGAUUUUCAAAAAUAAUUUUAGUCAUGCUGAGAAAAUCUCCAAGGUAUGUCUUUCCAAUACACUUUCAGCUACAUUUUCUAGCCCUUAAACGCUUGCAUGGCAGUAGAUUGAAAGGCUAUUUUAUUUCUCCAAGUUGGUAUGAGGCUUGACAAGAAAAAGUGGCUCAUUGUGCAGUGACGAUUAAGUUUGAUAAAAGAUUUAAGGUUCGCAGCUUAGUUUAGUUUAUUUCGCCAGUAUCCUGGCUCGAAGGUUUUAUUGGUUUCCUUCAUCAAUAUUUAUGUUUUGCUGGUUUUUGUUGUUUCUGUCUUUCAUUAUGAAUUACAAUCCAUGAAAAAGAGUAAAAACCUCGGUACUUACAAUGUAAAAACCCCAUCUGCCUAUUUUCUUCCUUUAGUGUAAGAGGCCUCUUAGUUCUCCACCACGCAUGAACCAAAAUCAACCACGGCUACCGUACUCAUUGUGAAUGAAAUAUGACGCGCUGCCAUCUCUUGGUUUUAGAUCCUUCUGAGGUAGUGCUGGUGUCUUAGUUUCAGUGUUGUUAACUUGACACCAUCAGGUUCUGUUACUUAAAAUGUUACUGUCACCGUGUAUGCUUCGUAUGUGUAUCCUUUUUCUAGUCAAAGGGCACAUCUAUUAAAAUAUUUUUCUGCACAUUUUAAUAGAACUAAAAUUCGUUUGUUCCACUUUUUCCUCUUAUUGAUAAACUGUCUUCAAGAAAUUGGUAUACUUGCUGAACAGAAGUGUUCACGGUUUUUCAAAAACCUAUAAAAAUUUGCCUUUUGACAUUUUGUGGCAAAGAAAGUUAGCUAUUCCGUUACCAAAUGAAACAAUGAAGAGCAUAAUCUAUCUAUUUUCCUUUAUUGUCGUUACUCGCUUGUUUUUUCAGGCUAUACAAUAUAAGAAUUUCUCGGCCAUGGCAAGUUAUGAACUAGUCGAGGUUGUUCAUGGUUUCCUUGGUAAGCUGAACUGACUAGUUUCUUUGGAUUUAUGGUGAAGCUUACUCCAGUAGAUUUUUUUGCAUGUGGCUCUUCAGGUCGAACAAUAUGCUUUCCUGUAUCUGACUUGAGCGUCAAUUGUAAUCUCGAUCCGUCGAGGAUUUCAUAUUGCUUGGUGUUGCCUUCAUUGGCUAGGACUUGAUCGAUGAAGACCAAAGUCUGGGUUGAAACUGGAUAUCCUUCGUAUUGUUCAAUUUUCUACUGGAUCUCAAGAACAGUAUCGCAAAACCAAAUCUCUAUUUUGAACCGUUCCCGCUUGAUGUCUCAAUGUCUACAUCCAUUUUUGGGAAUAAUUAGCUUUUUUGUUCUUCAGAAGUGGCUUUUAAAGAUUUUGCACCGGUACUCAAGCGUGAGAAAACAACGGAAGGAAGGCAUGGGAUUUCAGAGGGAGCAUCAAGAUUUUCUUGUGAAGAAUAUUAGAGUACUGCUGUUAAAUAUGAUUUCCUGAUCGGAAUCAAAUUAUAAUAUUUAAAUACAUCUCUAUAUGUAAUUAAAAAAACUAAUAAGUAUCUUAUCUUUAUUAAUGUCGGGAAACAAUGUAAAAUGCUCAAAUUAUUAUCUUUCUUUAUGCUUUUAA